rnacentral:tRNA from 6 species
UUACCCCCUCCUAGAGUU